rnacentral:rRNA from 1 species
UUUAUGGAGAGUUUGAUCCUGGCUCAGGAUGAACGCUGGCGGCGUGCCUAAUACAUGCAAGUCGAGCGAACAGACGAGAAGCUUGCUUCUCUGAUGUUAGCGGCGGACGGGUGAGUAACACGUGGAUAACCUACCUAUAAGACUGGGAUAACUUCGGGAAACCGGAGCUAAUACCGGAUAAUAUUUUGAACCGCAUG